ensembl:ncRNA asRNA:CR43933 antisense RNA:CR43933
UUGAGACGACGACUUAAACGAAAAUUACAAUCACUUCGCAUGCCGCUGGCCAGGCACUUCUGUAGUCGACAGAACUGGCACCGAUUCCUGUGGUGCUUGGUGACCUCGCAGUUCAUAGCCCCGCGACACUGGUAGCCCAGCUGCUUCCGGAUCGAGCGCUUGAAGAAUCCCUUGCAGCCUUCGCAGCUUAUGGCUCCGUAGUGCCGCCCGGAGGCGCGGUCCCCGCACACCAAACACAGCUCCACGCUCAACGUUGCGGAUGCUCCGGCUCCCAUUCCCACGCCGCCUCCUGGCAGAGGAGUGCCGCCUGAGGCACUGCCUCCUCCGAUCAAGGGCAUCGCUCGGUUUUCUGCAAGGUCAGAGGGCAAUGGCAACAGUCGCGUUAGAAUGGGCUCCAAGGUGGCAUGGCUCGGGUGAUUGGACUCACCUUCGCUUUUGAUGAACGUCUCAACCUUAACGCCGUCCAUUGUCGCCACAGCAGGCGGCUAAAAAAUAGUCGUCGGCUGUAUAAAUAACUGAAACCCAAACAUCUUCACAUAUGUAAUUUAAAUUUUACUUGCAAUAUAAAGUAGAGAAGAGAUAAAUAUGGAGUGUGUCUAGAAUAAAGGAAUUACGAGCCGAAAAGAGAGCCCAUUGCCCGUUUGGUGGCCCGUCCCAGGAAGAUGCCGGUGAGGAAGACCAGGCCCGUGGCGCUCAUUAGUAUCACAAGGAAGAAUUUCCGCGCCGGAGAGGCGACGACUUGUUGCACUAGCUGCUGCACAUCCUCGGGCGGAAGCGCCAACGUGUCGUCUGCGUUCCUGAACAUCUCUAUGCGUCGCUGCAGCUUUUCUCGGCAGUCCGCCUCUAACGAGUUCGGCGUAUCCUUCAGCAGCGUCCUUAAGCAAUUAAGUUCUAGAACAUAGAGAGAAAAACAUUAAUUAUUAUAUUUAUAACCACACCAACCACACACACACACACACACACACACACACACACACACACACACACACACACACACACACACACACACACACACACACACACACACACACACACACACACACACACACACACACACACACCCCCCUGCACCAAAAAGGAAUGUUCAAGAAAUUUCAUAAUUUGCUGCCUAUCACGUAACUUCCCGUUGUUUAUUUACACUAUGUACUGUUCUUAUUCUCUUAGUCAAUCUGCCUCCAAUUAUAUCGAUCUGCUUCAAAUACAUAAGCUGUUUGAUAGGUGCUUUCACU